rnacentral:lncRNA from 1 species
UGUCACCAUAGAAUACCGAUAUGAAUAAAACACUAAAAUUUCACAUUUUUUCGUGACACCCUAAAAAAUACAAAAAAUAUUAAUUCCUAAACGUCCGAGAAAUAUAAAAUAAUCAAGAAUAAGUCAAGAAAAUACCUCAAAAAAAUCUUGAAUCGCACUAGACACCAUAUAAUAUCGAUACGAAUAAAAUAUCAAACUUUCAUAUUUUUCGUGACUGCCUGAAAAUAUCAAAAUAUUUAAUUCGUAAACGUCCAAAAAAUAUAAAAAUCAAGAA